CCAUGGCGUGACCAACUCACUGACACAAAACCAGUGAAAUGGGUGGGGGGCUGUUCGAAAUAGGUCUUUGUCUUGUUUGAGCUCUUAAGAAAGAGAAACAGACUCAAUAGUGACAUCAAAUUGGGUAUUCUAAUUCCAGGUUUAUUUACAUAUUCAAUACCUCUUCAUUAUUUUUAUUUUUAUCAUUUAGGUGAACCAAUGGUGAAUCUGAUUGUAGUUCUGAUACAAUCAGAUGUAAAUUAUAUAGGUGAACUGAGAAUUGUCCAUGAACUACUCUUUGAGAGUGAUACUUCAAUGUAAACAAACUAUCUUAGCUGAUGAGUUAUUGGAACAGUGACGGGAAAUUUGUUGGUAUUUGUUGGUUGUUAAACCAACUAUAGAAAAGAGUGGAAUUGUUGUUUUGCUACACUAGCAGAACAGAAGCACCAGAAAUGUUAAUCUUUUAACGAUACUGUUACUGUUUACUGGUCUAAUCUAUUUAGUCAAAGGAAGAAGAAAGACAUUGGGAAUACGGUUUUGAGUGUUUGUUGGAACUGGGUUACAAGCUAAUGUAAUGGACCUAUUUGUGAUGGUGUACUGUGCAGUUACAACUAAUCUUCUCAAGGAUGAUUCACACUUCAGGUACAGGACACUUGAAAACGAUUUGACUGGUUGGAGCCCACAGAGACUGAGCUUGGCUUAAAGGAUAAGAGGCAGUUGGUGAAUCUUGGCAAGUGGUGAGACGAUAUAAGUGCUAGCCAUCUACAGCAGAGGGAACAACAUGUAUUUAAAGCUUUUAUAAAGUAUGGAGUGGAUCGCAACACCAUAGUGCAAACUGCAGCCAUUGCUGAGCUAGCAAUCGCAGCUCCGGAAAACUACGCUGAGGUCCUUGCAAAGCAGAGAAAAGGAGAGAAACUGGCCAUUAUUGCUCAACAGUGCCAGGAAUAUGCAGAAGCAGAUGAGACCAGAUAAGACAACUAUUAUCAAGAUGAAGACUGAAGGAAAGCUGCUGCCUAUGAAGAAGGGUUAAAUCCAAUUCCCAAACAUCCCUUUGUCUCUCUGUGCUCUCCACUUUUUAUGUUCUCUCCCAUCUUUUUAUUCCUGCCCCUUCUCUCUAUCUCCCUUCUUUUGCUUGCUUUCUGCUAUUGCUUGCCCACCGCCAA
ensembl:lncRNA